UGAGGAAUAUUGGUCAAUGGGCGAGAGCCUGAACCAGCCAAGUCGCGUGAAGGAAGACUGCCUUAUGGGUUGUAAACUUCUUUUAUACAGGAAUAAAAAGGCCUACGUGUAGGCCAUUGCAAGUACUGUAUGAAUAAGCAUCGGCUAACUCCGUGCCAGCAGCCGCGGUAAUACGGAGGAUGCGAGCGUUAUCCGGAUUUAUUGGGUUUAAAGGGUGCGCAGGCGGGCUUUUAAGUCAGCGGUGAAAUCUGGACGCUUAACGUCCAAACUGCCGUUGAAACUGGGAGUCUUGAGUAUGGAUGAAGUAGGCGGAAUUCGUUGUGUAGCGGUGACAUGCAUAGAUAUAACGAGGAACUCCGAUUGCGUAGGCAGCUUACUAAGCCAUAACUGACGCUCAUGCACGAAAGCGUGGGGAUCAAACAGGAUUAGAUACCCUGGUAGUCCACGCCGUAAAACGAUGAUUACUAGUUGUAUGCGAUAUGAUAGUAUGUGACUAAGCGAAAGCGAUAAGUAAUCCACCUGGGGAGUACGCCGGCAACGGUGAAACUUAAAUGAAUUGAC
rnacentral:rRNA from 1 species